GAUCUUGGUCAGAACGAACGCUGGCGGCGCGUUUAAGCAUGCAAGUCGAGCGGCAAGGGCCUUCGGGCCCCUAGAGCGGCGGACGGGUGAGUAACACGUGGACAAUCUGCCCCCCGGCCCGGGAUAGCCCAGGGAAACCUGGAUUAAUACCGGAUGAGACGGGACCCGCGAUGGCGGGAUCCGGGAAAGGCGCUGCGGCGCCGCCGGGGGAUGAGUCUGCGUCCCAUUAGCUAGACGGCGGGGUAACGGCCCACCGUGGCGACGAUGGGUAGCCGGCCUGAGAGGGUGGACGGCCACAUUGGAACUGAGACACGGUCCAGACUCCUACGGGAGGCAGCAGCUAAGAAUCUUCCGCAAUGGGCGAAAGCCUGACGGAAGCGACGCCGCGUGAACGAAGAAGGCCGUGAGGUUGUAAAGUUCUUUUCGGGAGGGGGAACAACCGUGGCAGGGAAUGGCCGCGGGAUCGACGUGAAUCCCGGAAUAAGCCCCGGCUAACCACGUGCCAGCCGCCGC
rnacentral:rRNA from 1 species